rnacentral:rRNA from 1 species
GGUUAAGCGACUAAGCGUACACGGUGGAUGCCCUGGCAGUCAGAGGCGAUGAAGGACGUGCUAAUCUGCGAUAAGCGUCGGUAAGGUGAUAUGAACCGUUAUAACCGGCGAUUUCCGAAUGGGGAAACCCAGUGUGUUUCGACACACUAUCAUUAACUGAAUCCAUAGGUUAAUGAGGCGAACCGGGGGAACUGAAACAUCUAAGUACCCCGAGGAAAAGAAAUCAACCGAGAUUCCCCCAGUAGCGGCGAGCGAACGGGGAGCAGCCCAGAGCCUGAAUCAGUGUGUGUGUUAGUGGAAGCGUCUGGAAAGGCGCGCGAUACAGGGUGACAGCCCCGUACACAA